rnacentral:tRNA from 1 species
GGGGAUGUAGCUCAGCGGGAGAGCGCUUGCUUUGCAUGCAAGAGGCCC